AGUUUGGAUUCAUGUGAGGAUUGUACAGGACCUGUGUCAAGUCUAAAAUGGCUUGGAUAUACCUGCAAAUUAUGUUCAAGAUCAUGGCACAAAACCUGCUUCAUGAAGACUAUGUCAAUGGUCAGUGUUGAAAUAUCCAGUUCUGAAGGAUCCAGUUCUGAUAAAGAAUAUCUACCUUGCUCGGGUAUUGAUGGCUCUUCUACUGACAAUGCUACAAGUAGCAACAGUGAUGACAGUCUUUCCCUCAACGCCAUGCCAGCAUCUUGCAUGAGCCCGCCUCUUCUUUUGGAGUCUUCUAAGAAGAGGUCAAUGAGCUUGCCACAAUCUUCAAGU